rnacentral:rRNA from 1 species
CAGCCGUAAACUAUGCUCGCUAGGUGUCAGGCAUGGCGCGACCGUGUCUGGUGCCGCAGGGAAGCCGUGAAGCGAGCCACCUGGGAAGUACGGCCGCAAGGCUGAAACUUAAAGGAAUUGGCGGGGGGAGCACAACAACGGGUGGAGCCUGCGGUUUAAUUGGACUCAACGCCGGACAACUCACCGGGGACGACAGCAAUAUGUAGGCCAGGCUGAAGACCUUGCCUGAAUCGCUGAGAGGAGGUGCAUGGCGUCAGUGACU